rnacentral:lncRNA from 1 species
UACUAGGAUUUUUUACGAUGUGGAUGCGAAGAGGGACGUGAGAGAAAGAGGUUGUUGUUUCGUGAAACAACUCCACAUAAGCUAAAAUUUAGGACAAUGAGCCUGCUUCUGCACCAUUGUACGACUUGUUGCCAUGCAACUCAAAACAUUCCUUUUGUUCUAUACACAAAUCAAGCAAAUGUGAAUUACUACGAGACAACUCAAAAGACAAGUUAUUGUACAGGUUGCCUGAUAACCAUUGUACGACUUGUUGCCAUGCAACUCGAAACAUUCCUUUUGUUCUAUACACAAAUCAAGCAAAUGUAAAUUACUACGAGACAACUCAAAAGACAGGUUAUUGUACAGGUUGUCUGAUAAGUCAACUCAAGACCACA